rnacentral:misc_RNA from 1 species
AUCAGUCUCCUGCAUGUUGUGCGCGCGCGUGUACCGUGCCAGCGAUCCAGCGUAAUAAGUAACGUGACAUUGUACAGGACAUCGACGCCAUUGCUAUCUUUCACAUCAACGAUCUUUAGCUAAUUCAGCCGUGAGUGAGAAGACCUCGCGAAUCCACGACCUAUUCAUCUUAAAAAACAACCAGCUAAACCAGAAUGUCUCGUUACGAUGGCGGCGGUGGUGGUGGUGGUGGUGGUAGGUCCUCUGCUGAAAGGGGCUGCAAAGUGUACAUCGGAAAUCUUGGAGAAUCUGCCAACAAGUCUGAGAUCGAGAGACUAUUUGGUACUUUUGGAUCUUUGAAGAGUGUCUGGAUUGCUAGGAAUCCUCCAGGUUUCGCGUUCGUUGAGUAUGAUGAUCCCAGAGAUGCAUCCGAUGCAGUAAAAGAUAUGGAUUCAAGAACCAUCUGUGGAGAGAGGGCUCGUGUAGAACUAGCUCGGGGUGAAUCAAGAAGACGUGGUGGUGGUGGUGGAAGAGGUUUCCGAGGAGGCAACCGUGGUCAUUCAAGGGGAGACCGAUAUAACAGUGGGGAUUAUGGAAAUUUUGGAGGAGGAGGUGGAAGGCGCGGCUUCGGGGGCGGUGGUGGAGGACGCCGAAGGAACUACUCCAGGACUCUCCUUUUAACGGCUUCACAGCCAAGUAACGCCUUGAGCCUUGUUGUAAAGCCCUUCAGGAAUCCACCAUAAAGCACUUCCAUUCUAUACCCUUGAGCAGCUAGUCGACGGAAUGUGAUCUUUUCAUGAUAAGGACCUGUUCGGCAGAGGGUAUAAAGAAGUCUUGCGCUUCUAGAACCCUCUUCUUCACAUUGCACCUUUACGCCAAAUCUGCACUUCAGGUUCAUUAAGAAAAAUCAGAAAAAGCUUCAAAAUUCCAGAUUCAAAAUCUCGACGAAAAAGGGGCUUCAAAAUUGGCCAGUCACCACACCACCACCUUGCAAAAGCUUACUUCGAUUCAGGCCACGUCGAUUUGCGACUUGUGACUUCAUUUAGUAGGAGACUACGGCCCUCAAAUUCAUAAUGGCUUCAGGGUUAUACUAGUUUCGUCAGUUCUGCACUUGGUAAAAAGAUCACGUAUACGUCGUACUGCCUUCUCCUGCGUUAGUCCUUCACUAGUCCUUCGCUAUUCCUUCACUAGGCCUUCGCAACUGACAAAAUGGGAACCUUAAGUUCCCUUUCCGUCCAAUUUCUUCACCCUUCUACAUGUAUAUCUACAGGCGAAAGAGGUAAUCUCGAUCGCGAUCUCGCUCACCUUUCCAAAGACGAGGUGGAUUCAGUCGAAGCAGAAGUCGAAGUCGUUAAGUGAUGCAGGCAUAGUCCCAAGAUCAACAUGCUGCGCUUUGAAUGUAAUGUAUUGAAAUUAUCAAGUGGAGAAUCAAACCAGCCCUGCUCUGAUUGGCUGGUUCUUGGGAAGCAUUCUUCAAACGCACCAAUUACCAGCAUAAUCCUUCUCGUGGAGUAAGAGGUUGAUCUGUACAUUAUAUCAUAUUGCCAAAGUUUGUCUGAUCUUGUUGUCAGUCAUGGCACAAUAUUCUCGUUUUAUUUUGUGGGUGUAUGACUCUGUGUAAUUUGAGAUACUUCUCUAUGUAUUUUUUAGUCAUUUGUGUAUCAGCGUCAUUUUUUAUACCUUUCCUGUCAGUUAUUUUAUGCGACCAUCCUAGAUUGAUUUUGAUUUCAUAUCAUGUCAUCGCGUUCCUCACACAUGGUGAAAUAUUGAAGGAAAUUCACAAAUUAUGCAUUAUAUUUUGAAUUCUUAGCAUGUGAACUAUGUUGAUAUCUCAUCAGUAGCAUCAGUUAUUAACUAAAUACCGUUAAAGGGAAUGUAUAUUGUAAGUGCUGUGUGAUUCGUACUAUUUUAGUAUCCUAAUUUCCUCACAAUUAAUCUUUGGUUUUGGGAAGUCUUUAAUCUAUUGUUACAUAAAUACGUUAAAUAGAUGCAGAAUGACAUUCAUUACUGAUGUAAAAAAAGGUUUUAAUUUUCUUAAUUGCAAUUGUUUUAUUUUUUAGGAUUUGAGUAAAUUAAUAUUUAUGGAUUCAAAUCGAUAAUGUUUACGAAACACAAUAAUACACUGUAUAAAUUUCCACUAAUAUAUUAUAUAUAGUCCACUGCAGAUUCUAAGUUGGACUCUGAUAUGUGUAUUCACAUAUCAGUUCACAUUGAUGAAUUAGCUGCUCCAUUCAGCAUUAUUCAGUUUGACCAAUUUUUUAUCAUGGGCCAAAUUUCCAUUUAAUUGGACAAUGAAUUAAUUCAAUUCAAAUCUUGUCCAUGCAAUCUUAAGAACUUUUUUAAUAGAUAGCAUCAAGAUGCUACUUUUUAUGGACACCAACUGCAGUUAGUCAAGUCUUGUAUUUUCAUACAUUUGGUUUUGACUUCACAAGUUUUUAAACGUCUCUUCUUUUUAGAUAGAAUGUUCAGGGUGUUUUAAUGGUAAUGACUGUCAGAUAUUGUAUCAAAGUACCAUUUUAUUGUAAGAUUUUGUCAUAUGAAGACCAAUAAAUAAAAUAUCACUAUCACAUUCA